AUAAGUGAAAUUAUUUUUAUGUUAAAUUUUUAUUGAAGCUAAAAAAUAUUAGAAUUAAACUAGGAUUUGAUACCCUAUUAUACUAAUAUAAAAUUUUAGUUCCUUGUAUUAUUAAUAGCUAUGUUCUUUAAAAUAAAAAAAUUUGGCGGUGAUUUAUCUUAUUAGAGGAAUCUGUUUUUUAAUCGAUAUAACACGUUAAAUUUUACUUAAGUUUGUAUACCGUCAUUAAGAUUGGUUUGGGAAAAUCUAUUAAAAUUAAUAAUUUAAAUAAAUUAGAUCAAGGUGCAGCGUAUAAAUAAGAUAAAAUGGAUUACAAUAAUUUUAAAUUAUUUGGAUAAUUUUUUGAAAUAGGAUUUAAUAGUAAAUUAUUAUAAUAUAAUAAUUAGAAGUUAGCUCUAAAUUAUGUACAUAUUGCCCGUCGCUUUC
rnacentral:rRNA from 1 species